rnacentral:lncRNA from 1 species
UGGCAGCGGGUGCCUCCACGCACCUAGGUGCCACUGGAGCACUCUGGGCCUCAGGAGUUCCUACCUCCAGCCUUUGAGGGUCUCUUUGGAUUGCUUGGUGGGAGGGUUUUGCCACACUGGAUCAGAUAUAAGUGCAGCCUUGGUUCAGACAGGGUGGGGUUCUGCCACCUGCUGUGUUGGGUCAGAUUGCCUUGGACCUUUGCUGAAGCUGGUCCAAAGGAGGUGGGCAGAGGAGCGGAUAUUGGACCCUUGUAAAGCAGUGUGAUGUUCACUCAGAUGAUGGCAGCUCUCCAGAGCGAGUGCCCUGGGGCAGCCUCCGUCCUAGCAUCAGCCACACCAUGCCCAGCAGAGCGGGCCCCAUCUCCUCAGGGGGAGCGGCGCCUGUGUGCCCAUGGCCUGGAAUUAGCCUGGGGCAGCUGGCAGGGUGGGGGUGCUUCCUGCUUCCCAAAGGUAAAGCACUGAGAGUUUGGGGCCUGGGCCUCCUGUGCUGCUCCUAACCACUCAGCUGACUCCCCUGGCCCUGAUGUGUGGCUUGAUUUUUAAACACUAAACAGCUUGUGGUGCCUAACCUGUCAGUUGCUGGUAACUUUGUAGGCCGUUUACGAAUGGACAGAGCGGGUGCCCGGGUAAGUGCAAGGAAGGCGCCCCCAGGCUGUGUCCUCAGGGCCGCUGUGCUCCUUCACAGAUGGCCACUCCUGAUGCUGGGUGGAGUUUUUGCCCCCACUCCUUGCCUUACAGGCCGUCUCUUUCCUUUUAAUUAACUUCCAGCCUCAACGGCUUUGUUCUUUUGGAUGUUGACAUCACACAACGUGCUGUGGGAGUUAUGCACGAUUUUCUACUGGCUGUUUUGGGGGAGACCAGGUGUUGUAGACCCAAAUUUAGACUUAAUUUCAAUACUACUAGUACAUGCCCUUAGGGUGACAGGGCAGACUUCUCGUCACAUAAUGAAAGCGGGACGUCGCUCCUUUAGUCGUCCUCAGCUUGUGCUGCAGUCUGUCUUUCCGGCGGGAGGACCCAGGCCUGGGACGGAGUCUGGUGUUGUCAGCACACUGCCCACCAGAAGGAGCUAAAAACUACCCCGAGACUGAGUCUGUAUUUUAUGAUAUUAGCUCCAUCCAGCCGUACAGUAGAGUAGACCAUAUUUUAAGUUUCUUGUCUUGGUAAAAAUCUAUAGAGUAAAAUAAAAUGGCAGUUUCGUGUGUGGGGCUCCCCCAUCUCAAGCUGCCCUUUGAGAUCUGGGCAGGAACCCUUAAUCCCAUCUCUCACCUCACCCACUAGACCUUGUGCCGGAGCCGACUACUGGAGAUGACAGUGAUGCUGCCACCUUUAAGCCAACUCUCCCUGAUCUGUCCCCUGAUGAACCUUCAGAAGCACUCGGCUUCCCAAUGUUAGAGAAGGAGGAGGAAGCCCAUAGACCCCCAAGCCCCACUGAGGCCCCUACUGAGGCCAGCCCCGAGCCAGCCCCAGACCCAGCCCCGGUGGCUGAAGAGGCUGCCCCCUCAGCUGCCGAGGAGGGGGCCGCUGCGGACCCUGGCAGCGAUGGGUCUCCAGGCAAGUCCCCGUCCAAAAAGAAGAAGAAGUUCCGUACCCCGUCCUUUCUGAAGAAGAGCAAGAAGAAGAGUGACUCCUGAAAGCCCUGCGCUAACACUGUCCUGUCCGGAGUGACCCUGGCUCUGCCAGCGUCCCCGGCCACGUCUGUGUCCUGUCCUUGUGUAAUGGAAUGCAAAAAAGCCAAGCCCUCCGCCUAGAGGUCCCCUCACGUGACCAGCCCCGUGUAGCCCCGGGCUGACCCAGUGUGUGCUCAGCAGCCCCACCCCACCCUGCCCCUUGUCGUCUCAGAGCCUCAGCUUCUGGGGGAGACAUGCUCUCCCCACAGGUGGGAGGCACUAAGUCAUGGUCCUGGCUGGAAGGUACUGAAGGCUUCUGCAGCUUUGGCUGCACGUCACCCUCCUGAGCCUCACCUUUCCUGCCGUCCCUCCUGUUGUGAAAUCACCACAUUCUGUCUCUGCUUGGCUUCCCCUCCACCCUAAAGUCUCAGGUGAUGGACUCAGACUCCUGGCUUCAUGUGGCAUUCUCUCUGCUCAGUGAUCUCACUUAAAUCUAUAUACAAAGCCUUGGUCCCGUGAAAACACUCGUGUGCCCACCAGCGGCCUUGAAGAGGCAGGUCUGGGCCAGAUGCUGGGCAGGAAACCCCAGCGGCAGAUGGGCCUGUGUGCACCCAACGCGAUGCUAUGCAUGUCUGACCGACGAUCCCUCGACCAGAAUCAGAUUCAGGAGCUCAGUUUCUUUUUCACUUGGGUCUCUGGAUUCCUGUCAUAGGGAAGGUAUAUCAGGAGGGGAAGAGUCCUUUCUAGAAUUUUCUUUAAGCAGGUUUACAAUUUAGCUUACAUUUUUCGACUGUGAACGUGAAUAGGCUGCUUUUUGCUUUCUUCUUUCCAGACCCCACAGUAGAGCACUUUUCACUUAUUUGGGGGAGGUUUCAGGGGACUGUUCUCACCGUAACUCAGCCAGAAAGAUGCCCUAGUUGUGAUGAAAGGUAACUCGAGGUGGAGGGUAGCCCUGGGGCCCCUCGACAUCGCCGUCAUGGAUGGAGCCUGAACUGUGUGCUCCUCGGCAGAUGCUGUUGUUGUUACUUCCCUGCAAGAGGCUGGAAAAGGGCUCAGAGCUGCUGAUCAGGAACCGGAGGGUGACCCAUUUCAGGAGCUGCCAGUACCAGCCUGACUAGGUGUAGGCAAGCUUAUGUGGGCCCAGCAGGCCCCUGGUAGAGCUGGUGCCAGAUGUGGGCUCAGAUCCUGGGCAUGAUGGGCCGAGCCACCUCAGAUCCCACUGACUGGCCAGCCGAGCGAGAACCAGGCCGCUGCAUGGCACUGACCGCUGCUUCCAGCUUCCUCUGAUCCCUGGCAUCUGGGGCUGGCACACAGGGGCACUUUACAUCGCUAUGGAACCAAGCCUCCAGCCCCUAGGCCUGUGGGUCCCAGACCACAACCCUACCCGUUUCUCCAGGGGCAGCGUCUCUGGCAGGAAGCAGAAGAUGAACAGCAGGUCGGAGGCUGCGAAGAGCAGGGCAAACCAGGGUGCCAUUUCCAGGGGCAGGGAGGCUCCGAGCAUAGGGCCCAGGGUGAAGCCCAGUGAGAAGGCCACCCCAAUGACCGCCUAGGAAAAAGACCACCUGAGCUGCACAGGGAGACCCAGGCCCAGAAGUCACCACCAGGACCCCAAAGGCCCAGCCUGUGCACUUACCAUGCCUUGACUGCGGGCCAGAGGCGAGCCCAGGUCAGCAACGAUGGCCGUGGAGAGGCUGACGUUCCCUUUGCUGAUGCCCCCAAUCAGCCUGGAGGCCAGGAAGGCCGCAAAGCUCCGAGAAGUGGCCCAGACUGCAUAUGAGGUGGCCACACCCAUCUGCCCAGGGGCAGGGGCCAAGAGGCAGGGGCGGUCACUUAAGGCCAGGAGUGGCUCAGAGUAGGGCUUGGCAACCCAGGCAACACCCCUCAACCCUGCCCCAUUUCGAACCAUCUGAGGGCCACUUGUGUUCUCAAUGCCUUCCUAGGGGCCAGGAGCAGCUCCUUGAAAGCCUGGCUCUGUAACAGGAGCCACUGGUUCCCCAGAGAACCCCCUCCAGGAUGCGAUGAGGGCCAACAGCCACCUCCCUCUCCCCACCUAACCCCACGGGGCUACUGGUUGGGUGGGAGGAGGCUUCCCCAUGGGCACCCAGGCCCAGGAACAUACCAGGCACAGCAGCAUCACCGGGCGCCUCCCCAAGUAGUCUGAGGUGGCCCCAGUGAGUGGCGCACACAGAAACUGCAGGACAGAGAAGGCCGAGCCAAUGAGACCUGAGAGACAGAUGUCACCAUCAUGGGGCUGCCUUGCACCACGAGCUGUGGUCUUGGGGCCCUCAAGGCCAAUGUCCAGCCCCGUCCUGAGGGUCCAGUCAUGCUGGGCCCUACACUCACAGGCCAUGGCCCUUGAGCCGAGGGGGCCCCAAUGGAGAGAUGAGGAAGGAUCUGAACAUGAUACGCGGAGGCAAGGGAUCAUGCCUAGAAGCCAGGACAUGUGGGCAAGGGCACCAGACUGAUGCCAGCCCAGGGAGUGGGAAGGGAAGGACCGAGAAUUGGGGAGGGGCCUGGGCUGGACCAUGUCCACCAAACAUAGGACCGUAGAGAGCCCGCCAAGGGCACAGAGCCAGCCAUACCUCCGAACAGGACACUGUUGUACCUCUUCUCCACUGGCAUCCCGAUGGCGGUGGCAAACCAGUCCACCCCGCCCUGCCAGGAGCCAUAGAGGGGGUCCUAGGGGAUGAGGAAUCACGAUAAGGGCUGGGGAGGUCUGAUGGGCCUGGGGGGCAGGGGGCACUGUGGGCCGCAGGGCAAGGACUCACGUGGGCACGGCCAUGGCUCUCCAACAGCCCGGGCAGCAGAGGCAGCAGCAGCGUGAAGGCCAGGAGGUCCAGCAGGAGGCCGAGGAAGACAACGGUGACCACGCGGCGCUCCGGCGGCUGCUGGUGGAUGGGUGGGCGCGGGGUGCAGCCUCCACCCCCUCCCCAUCCCAUGGUGGGCUGCUCUGACCUGGCCUGGGUGGGGUGCNNNNNNNNNNCCCGCCGCCAGGGGCGGGACGGCCACGCCCGGCCACGCCACGCCCCGGAAGUGACGAACAUCUCUGCCCGUUCUCUUCCGGCCGGAGGCAGUGGCGGGGUUCUCGCCGGUCCUGCGGGUCGCUGCUCGGCUGUGGGUUAGUAGCACCCUGAGCGGAGCGGAAGAGCUGCCCGCCGCCGCGUAACCCCGAGGCCGAGACUCCCGGCCUGGCCUCCUUGGGCCCACGACGCCUGCCCCGCGGAGCGGACCCAUGGGCCUGAGGUUUGUGUGCGGGGCCUCAGGCGAGCGCUGGCGCAGCCUGUCCCCCAUCCUCUGCGCCCUGCGGGCCUGGCCCUCCCCGUGGAAGGACCGCGGGCUUCGGGGCCCCACGCUGGGGGGCUGACUCCUGCCACAUACACAGCGGUGGCCGCGGGCCUGGGGCGGCAGCACAGCCAUUCUGCUCGGGCUGCGUGAGCUGACCCCGCUCUCUGUGCACCUACUUUUGCUGCGUUUGGUGCUGAGCCUGAAGUCCCAGGACAGGCGGCUGAGGGGGUAAGAUGGUGUGAAUUGGGUGGGCAGAGACAACUGAAAGCCAUAGGACCCGGUUGGCACCUUUUUGGCCUCCUGGGCCUUUGCCUGCAGCCCCGCUCCCUGGGUCACCCGAAGGAGGAGCUGGCGCUCUUUCCGGGCGCAGAAGCACCCGACCCACGCUGGAGGAAACGGUCCCCCUGGGCAGGAGAAGCUUUGGGCCUGGCUGGAGCACACUCACGGAACCACGCCAACGCCUGGCCUGUAGCCAGCUCCCACCUCCCCUCCCACCUUCUAAAAUGCUUGCGGAUCUCUCGUGGCCGACCCUAACCAGAUACACAUGGGGAAAGGAAUCAGGUGGCACACACACUGCCUUUACUCCAUAGAGAACUUCCAAUUGUGGGUAAGAACAAAGCCCCACCUCUGCCUAAUAGAUGCAGUUUUCCACCUGCAGCCAAAAAGACAACCUGUUACUACCUUUUUCCCCAGAGGACAGGUAUCUCUAUGAAACUGCCAUUGCAAAAUUUGCCGACAGUGAGAUAACCAGCUCCAUCUUGCUUCUAACCUCCAUGCCCUCCUUGUUUAUUGCUGCGCGCAGGUUGAACUGUGGGAGGAACUUAGUUUAAAACAAAGAUGAUAACAGCCCUUUCCCAAAAGAAACCUUUCCUGGGGACUAGCCUGCUUUUGUGGGACCAACAGAUUAGCCACAAGAUUAGAAACUACGGUUGAAGAGUCACGCAGCUGGAGGCUACAGGAUUCUGACCCUCCCCAAACUGCUCCUGGCGAUAACAUGACCAUCGUAAAGCCUAAGAUCAGCACUUGAUGGGUCGCCUGGCACCACCCAGGCUCAUCUGAUGUUGUGGCACCCAGGAACUGACUCAGUGCGAAAACAACAGCUUCGAACUCCCUAGGAUUUCAUGUCUGACCUGACCAAUGGGUACUUCUGACUCACUGGCUGCCCCCCACCCACCAGCUUAUCUUUAAAAACUCCAAACCCCAGAUGCUCAGGGAGACCGAGUAAUAAUAAAACUCCAGUCUCCCACACAGCUAGCUCUGCGUGAAUUACUUUUUCUGUUGCAAAUGCCCUUUCUUGAUAAAUUGGCUGUCUAGUAACAGGGAAGGUGAACCCAUUGGGCAGUUACACUUCUGUCCACCCUUCCAGCUGGAUCACGCACCCUCUUCAAUGACAUGACACGCAGCUAGGGUUGUAUGAGCUUGCUGCCGGCACCUUCCGUCCUGGAUCGCAUAGCAAGGCCUCAACGGACAGCCAGGUGCCUGGUCCGGUCCCACUUUUUUUUCUGUCCUGUUCUCGUUUCCUCUUUGCUUGGCCCAAGAGGGUUGGGCCAGGGUCCUGAGUGCAAGGGCUUGGCUUGAAUUAAAGUGGCAGUAGCCGUGUGGCAGAGAAAAUUCGUAGAUGGGUGAAAUCCUGCAGCUGUUGAUGUUAACAGCAUCCUGGGCCUACACAGAGACAAAGUGUAUAUAGACAGCCAGCCUACUUGGUGGAUGUGACAACCCCAGACUCUUCUAGAUUUGUGGAUCCAUGCACCUGCCAGACCUGUCUCUGAGCCAUCUGGGGAGGCUGGGUAAGAUUCCCCCGUCAGGGCCUGAGCCUCAUCUCCAAGCUGCUGGCUUCAGCCCAGCUGCCACCAGCGCUGUCUCUGUCUUGCGCUUUCCAGAGGGAGACUGACUCAUUUUGAGCUCGAGGCCUACCAGGCAGCCCAACCGCGGCAGUAACUGCCUCUCACACUGAGGAUGGCUCAUGCUCUGGUCCAGCCAUGGCUUGAACACCUCCCAACGAGAACAAAGCCAGAUUCAUUCUCCCCAGCGUCUUCCUUGCUCAAAGAUCCUACACACCGUUAGAAGCUGGAACUGGGUCCUUGUUACCUUCCUCACCUCCCCAGUCCUAGUCUGGUUAAUCCUCACAUCUCACCACGG